UACAGAGGGUGCAAGCGUUAAUCGGAAUUACUGGGCGUAGAGGGUGCGUAGGUGGAUAUAUAAGUCAGAUGUGAAAUCCCUGGGCUUAACUUAGGAACUGCAUUUGAUACUGUGUAUCUAGAGUAUGGUAGAGGUAAGUGGAAUUUCCGGUGUAGCGGUGAAAUGCGUAGAUAUCGGAAGGAACACCAGUGGCGAAGGCGACUUACUGGACUGAUACUGACACUGAGGCACGAAAGCGUGGGGAGCGAACAGG
rnacentral:rRNA from 1 species